UGUUGCUAUUCUUGCAGGAUAUCUUACUUGGGUUCUCUGCAUUUCCUAAAUUUGAAUGUUGGCUUGUCUUGCUAAGUGGGGGAAAUUUUCCUGAAUGAUAUCCUGAACUGUUUUCCAACUUGG